CUAAUAAUAUUUUAAAUAUAGUCAUCUCUCCUCUAUAUAGUAGUAAUUCAUUUCCUCUCAUACAUAAGCAGCUGGCAUUAACAAUGGUCUUAAUUCACUAAUACCGUAUCUCCCGCCUUCUCAUCCCCCUUUUAAACAAAUCCCAUCUCUAAUUAUUAGAGACAAGCUGUUGUAUGAUUGAUAAAGAGAUACUGUUACUUUUCAAAAAGUGGAGAGACCAUUACUCCCGUAGAUUCCUACUCCCAGCCAAUAAAUUUUAAUUACUUAAUAGUGUGUAGAGGUUGUUGGUACUUAAGCAACAAAACCUGAUGUGUUCAGAAUGGAGGCUUGAGAUCAUAGUGCACCAACACGAAGUGACAUAGUAUGACUGCUGCGACCACUGUAUUUCACUAGAAGUAUUUGUUUCAGAGUAUGUGGGACUCGUUCAAAGAAAGAUGUUCUAAAUCUUUCGAUUCGUGUAAUUUACAUUUUAAAAUGGGGUGCUUAUUUUUACAUAAUAUGGCAAAGAUUCGGUUGUGUUCCUUUCUCUUUAAAAUCAGCCCUGACAUGUGAAAGUUUAUUUUUUCUUUAUCUACUCAAGUUUUUUUAAAUGAAAGGAUGUUCACUGCUCAGGAAUUAAACUGCCAAGGAAAAGAAAAUUCAUUCUUAAGAAAAACGGCCCAGCUACAAAAAUACACCAGAUUUUCAUUACUGCCUAUAAAUGAAUAAAGAUACAAGAAAGAUAAACAUGAUAAGUAUAAAAAAUAUUAUUUUACUUUUAUACUUGUUAUAAAUAAUUUAUUAAUAUGUAAAUUUGAUCUUCCAAAAGGUAGAACCCCAACGAAAGAAUUAUUCCAAAAUGUUUUAAUAGCUCAAUGACAAUGUGAUUUGACUCCAUUAGAUUUCCUUAAGUUAAUAUUCAUUACAUAGGUAAUUAUCGUCAGCGGUUGUACUUGACAAGUCAAUUACUAAGUCAUGAAAUUUCCAGUUUCAUAUGACUGAAAUAACCAGAACUUGAUGAACAACAGGCUGUUAUCAAUUUGAUAUGCAGUUGGUAGUGUUUUUUCAUCGAGGAAAAAAUAUGACACGGAAAACCUAAGUGGGUUUAUGGGGGAUAUCAUUACAUUGAGCAAGAAAAAGUUAUUGAAGUAAUGGAGAAAGUAAAGAAAGGUGGCACUGAAAAGCAAAGUUGGCCCUUAUAGAGAGAAAUGAUCAUUACUUCUAAAUCUCUACUUCUUAUGUUUCCCUUCCUACAAGAUAAAUAUGGAGUAAAAUUUAUAAUAACGUCUCGAUGUAAUCAGGAUUCGCUAGAAAUUUUUUUUUCUCCCCUGGGUCAAAUAGGUGGAUCUAAUAAACACCCUAGUCUUGUAGAUGCACUUAAUCGCAUUCGACUUCUAAUGCUGGGUAAGCAAUCAGAAUUUACUGUUCCCUCUGUUCUUGUUAAAUGUAGAAACACAAGAUAUUCCUCCCUUUAAUCAAUUUUGACCUACAUCUACCUCAAAAGAAGAUGAAUUUGAAUAUCAUAACUCGGAAGAUAGCAUAUUUUUGUGAAUGGCUCUAACUUUUGAAAGGGAAUCUUAGACUGAAUCUCUUCUACUCAACCAAACAAAUCUGUAAUAGAACUUGAAGACUCAGACUUAGAACAAAAUUUCAUGGCAAGUCAAGGUUUUAUUUAUGUUUGUGGAUGGAUAGCUUAACAAUUUCAAGAUAAGUAUACGGAGUUGGGGGAGAAAAUAUCUAAUUUAGGAAUGUCUGAAGUAUGUCCUUGGCUGAAAGUGAUUCCAAAGGCGGGUUAAAGUCAGACCUACUAAUGGAAUCAAUAAAAAAAUAUUACAAUUAUUUUACGGAGAUGGCAUAAGGAGGGAAAAAAAAUAUAAUUAAAAGACAGAAUAUACUUACAAGCUUCCAGCCGAAGUCGUACUUAAAUAUGCUAGAGUAAGAUAUCAUUCGGAUAAAAAAAAAAUGAAAGAAAAAUAUAACCAAGAAAAAUCCAUAGGUAAUAUAACUCUACGAAAUAUUAAAAAAAAACAUUAUCAAUAUUUGUAACUUCCUUAUUCAACAAAUUAAUUACUUAGGGGUUAGAUUUAGCCUUACAGUCGUCAAUCGAGGGUGUGAUAAAGAUGAAAAAGUAAUAAGAAGAAACGCCUUCAUCUCCUGUCUACAACGUCUGUCCCGUUCAAGAGAUAUUCCUUCUUCCUUCCUCACUCCCUGGAUAGGAUAUCAUCUCCUUGUAGACAAGGAUCCUUGAGAGGAUAGAUGCCCUUCACAUCAACAUCUGCGAUCUGUGUCACUUCUCCCCUAUUGACUCAUUGUCUCUAUCUUCAAGAAUAUAUCUUUUCCUAAAGAUCUAUGGGCUUAUCAUUAACUUCACAAGAAACAGGAAGCUCCAUAAAAAACACUUUAACUUAAUUAAAGACUGUGUGUGACUCAGAAACAGAGAGAGUUACUCACUACUACCCUCCUUCAUUGAAAUUCGUGUGCCCAUUCCUACUUAAGUCAACACUGCUUCGUCUCUAAGAAACCUAUUUCAAUCAUCAGAGUCCUUCAGUGUCCUUGAUGUAGAUCACGCAGAAAUAACUUAUCUUUAUCACAUUUACAUUAAUUCAAUUUAUUAGGGGGAGUUUAUGAUGUACGGUAUACAUGGUCAAUUAUAGAAGCUGGACUCAAAAACAAGUGGAAAAUCAUUUUAGAAUCUUAAAGAUAAAUGUGCCUCUUUAUUCUCUAUAGUUUGGACUGUAAAACAUAUUAUAUUCUGCUAUUACAUAUAAAUAAAUAUUGUAUCUUGAAU
rnacentral:lncRNA from 1 species